rnacentral:miRNA from 1 species
CGAAGUGACCGUCGCCCCCGCGAAGGCGGGGGCCGCCGGAGGUUUACGCAUCGCUGCCGGAUAGGGCCGACAGCGGCCCCCGCCUUCGCGGGGGCGAUGGUCUUUCCU